rnacentral:snRNA from 1 species
GUGCUCGCUUCAGCAGCACAUAUACUAGAGUUAG